AGGGGAGAGAAAAGAAAAGAAGGUGGGAGAGAGAGAAGAAAAAGAAGGCAGGCAAACAAAGUGAAGGCCUUCUGGACAAGUUUUGUUAGUUUUCUGUUCCAGCAGGUUCUCAUCAGGAGGAGCGUCUCUCUAGUUUCCACCUCUCAGCUGGGCCAUCCACAUGGUCUCAACAACACUUGACUCUCUCAAGGCAGCGUCUUCGGAACAGCUCUCAAUGUGGGAAAGGAAAUACAGGGGCAGAGAAAUCAGCCAAAUGACCUCACAGAGAACUCAUCAGACCAAUGCAGAAGGUGGGACAUCUCCUGAGCACGUUGAGAUGGAAGCAAUAGAACAACUAGCCACAAUGUGUGGUCUUGGAGUGGAUUCUGGUUUGGACAAACUAGCUGUUAAAGAUAUUUUUUGAAGCAACUGGGGGAAUUAAAAGAUGGACUGGCUACUAAAUGUUAUUAAGGAAUUUUAAUUAAUUUUCUAAGUGUGAUCCUAUUAUUUUGGCUAUGUUUGGAAAUGUUCCCUUUUUAAAAAAUUUGCAUUGUUGUCAUCGCUAAUGGGUUUGAGAGUAUCUUUUUUUAAAUUGAAGCAUAAUUAACAUACAAGUGUUAGUUACAUUAGUUUCAAGUGUACGGUAUAGUGAUUCAGCAGUUCUCUACAUAACUCAGUGCUCAUCCCAAUAA